GUCUAAUGGCUGAGCUAGUGAAUGGGUCAAAGGCAAAACCGGGCUGUUGCUACACCACAGAUCUCUUCAGGGUAGCCCUGAAAAGGAGUGGUGUGAGAAGCUCCUCCUAGCGGGCCAAAGUUUGGUGGAUACCCAUGUGUGUGCAAAGAAAAGGGGCCUAAAGUAGAAUAUAUCUGGAUUAUUGGAUGGUGUUGAAUGGCUGGUUAAUCAGCAACAAAGAGCUCUGUGGAAAAGACACAUUAUGGACCUGUGAGAGUGGCCACAGUGUGAAGAACUGUGUGUUGCACGUUAGAGCUUAUCACAGAGCAUCCACUACAGAGGAGGCGCCGAACAACCGCAUGUUCCCAACCGUUCUCUGCCCCUGGCCACCCGUCUGCCGACACAGAGGCUCACAGAGAGGGCAGCUACUUAUCAGGCCUGUGGCUAACAUCAUGGGCUCUCGUUCUCCAAGAAUGGUCCGGUUACUGACAGGGUCUCAGGUUUAACCUGUAAGCAACAGAGACCGUGUCCAAGUUCCCAGUAUGGCAGUAUCACCCUAUGAGACCCACAAGACACUGGGUGGCAUGUCAUCUGUGUUGUCCUCCCAUCUUGAAAUGAGCAAUUUUCUCUGAUAUCAGCACAUAAUCCAUUUAUGGAUUUACCUUUCCUGCCCACAGGGCUGACCUCACUAAAUGAUGAUUUCACGAAACUGUCCGAUCCACCAACACGGGGUCCUGCAUAAUUCUACACCAGAACAAGGGGCUCGCUGAGCAGCAGAGAGAUGAGGUCCAAAGAAUACUUCUGCAUCUCGCUGUGUUACUCCUUUCCCAGUCCCUCAAGGGGAACACCAGUGGAUGGUCUGACUGAUCCUAGCUCAGUCAGUCACAAGAUGAUCACUGAUGCCUGAAGGAUAUCAGCCAUAUGAAGACUGGGAUAUGUGUCUGUUUUGUCCACUGCUUUAUCCCCAGAGCCUGAAACAGGCCCUGGUAUACAGGAGACAUCCAGUUGAUAUCUGUAGAAUAAAUGAAUGCCAUGUACAAAAUUAUGACGAGACGCACAGGAGAAGGGGAGAGCAGCACGGCUCUGCUAUACAAAAUUGAAGGCGUUUUCUUGAGUAUUGUCUUGACAACUAAGAAGCGGCCGUGAACUCAAGCUUCCUGGGGAAUCUGCUGGGCUUUUUGACAUUGCUCCAUCCUGCCCCAGAGCUCUUGCUGUGACCCUCUCAGACACAUCGCUACGCGCUGAGCAGAAAGAAAACCCAGAAGCCUGAGGAAUCACUUCAUGGCAGCUUUUGUAUUUUUCAGAGACUAUAACAUGCACAACUCCAGCUUCAGUCUAAACUGACCUCGGAUCAAGGCUCCUGUUGCUAGACACCCCACAGAAAUGAAACCAAAAGUAAGAUCUGUCCAGGUUCUCUCAGACUGCAUCCUAAUUCUUCCUUCAGUGAUGCCACAGUCAAUAUGCAUCCAUUUCCAUUUUGAAAUGUCCCUGUCUACCACCAAAUUGGAGCACUCCUUCUGAGCUCCACCACACACUGUGCAUGCC